AUUGAACGCUGGCGGCAUGCUUUACACAUGCAAGUCGAACGGCAGCACGGGUGCUUGCACCUGGUGGCGAGUGGCGGACGGGUGAGUAAUACAUCGGAACGUGUCCAGAAGAGGGGGAUAACGCAUCGAAAGAUGUGCUAAUACCGCAUAUGCUCUGAGGAGGAAAGUGGGGGAUCGAAAGACCUUACGCUUUUGGAGCGGCCGAUGUCUGAUUAGCUAGUUGGUGGGGUAAGGGCCUACCAAGGCGACGAUCAGUAGUUGGUCUGAGAGGACGACCAGCCACACUGGGACUGAGACACGGCCCAGACUCCUACGGGAGGCAGCAGUGGGGAAUUUUGGACAAUGGGCGCAAGCCUGAUCCAGCAAUGCCGCGUGAGUGAAGAAGGCCUUCGGGUUGUAAAGCUCUUUCAGUCGAGAAGAAAAGGCUGCAGUGAAUAACUGUAGUUUAUGACGGUAUCGACAGAAGAAGCACCGGCUAACUACGUG
rnacentral:rRNA from 1 species